ACCACUGAGCCACCUUCCCAGCCCCAAGUUACCCUUUUAAAAUAAUGUUCCAGGGCUGGGAAGGUGGCUCAGUGGU
rfam:Dipodomys ordii contig_29862, whole genome shotgun sequence.